rnacentral:rRNA from 1 species
UGUAUAAAGUGGCGAACGGCUGAGUAACACGUGGGCAACCUGCCCUUUGCACUGGGAUAGCCUCGGGAAACCGAGGUUAAUACCGGAUACUCCAUAUUUGUCGUAUGGCGAAUAUGGGAAAGCUCCGGCGGCAAAGGAUGGGCCCGCGGCCUGUUAGCUAGUUGGUGGGGUAGUGGCCUACCAAGGCAAUGAUGGGUAGCCGGGUUGAGAGACCGACCGGCCAGAUUGGGACUGAGACACGGCCCAGACUCCUACGGGAGGCAGCAGGC